GACGAACGCUGGCGGCGUGCUUAACACAUGCAAGUCGAACGGUAAGGCCCUUCGGGGUACACGAGUGGCGAACGGGUGAGUAACACGUGGGUGAUCUGCCCUGCACUUCGGGAUAAGCCUGGGAAACUGGGUCUAAUACCGGAUAGGACUCCGGACUGCAUGGUCUGGGGUGGAAAGCUUUUGCGGUGUGGGAUGGGCCCGCGGCCUAUCAGCUUGUUGGUGGGGUGAUGGCCUACCAAGGCGACGACGGGUAGCCGGCCUGAGAGGGUGACCGGCCAGACUGUGACUGAGAUACGGCCCAGACUCCUACGGGAGGCAGUAGUGGGGAAUAUUGCACAAUGGGCGCAAGCCUGAUGCAGCGACGCCGCGUGAGGGAUGACGGCCUUCGGGUUGUAAACCUCUUUCAGCAUCGACGAAGCGAAAGUGACGGUAGGUGCAGAAGAAGGACCUGCCAACUACGUGCCAGCCGCCGCGGUAA
rnacentral:rRNA from 1 species